GCUGGGAAAGCGUUUGCCGUGGCCCAGAUGAAAUUUCAAAUUCCAGUUUGCGGACAAAGUCCUGUUCGCUUUAGAAUAUGGAUCUCCGACCACUGACCAAACUCCAGAGUAACUACCUAUUUAUCCAUUGUGGAAGUUUGUACUUUCCUUAGUUUGGUUUCUGGACGUGGCAGGAACACAUGCAGUCUUGUGCAGGGAGGCAACAUGGGACUGGGCUUCUGGCUGAGGAUAAUAUUAAGGAUUUGCUUUUUGGGUCAUGAAAGAAGUGCAGGUUUUUAGCAACUGGUCAGUCUUUUGUCUUCGCUCUACUAUCCUAAUUGAUCGAACCACUAUAGACACGUGUCUGCUAAUUUGGUCUGAGCUGCAAAAUAUUAUUAGGCCAUCUCCAGAUGAAGGUAAAUGGAUCCAGAAGAUUUCUACAAAAAAAAAAACAAUUUUCCCAACUGCUUGGAUGCCGAACGUAUUAGAGUUACUAUGCCUGCCAAAAGUGGCUCCAAGUACUAGUUGUUAUUGCAAAUUAUUGCUCUUCUGUAAUUAAUGUGGGGGCCUAUGGGUGCCGGUGCUAUCUGGAAUUAUCUAUGCCUGCCUAUACCGAAGCCACUGUAUGAUUCCACUGAAUGCCGUUCUUCUGUAUUGUGCAUUGUUCAUAUAUAUAUGCACACUAUAAUAUAUAUUAUUUUAUUAUAGUUUUGUGGGAAUUCAUGGUAGGUAAUAAACAUUCACCAUAUAUA